GUUUAAUUCGACUCAGCAUGGGAAAACUAACCCGGCCUGGACACUGUGAGGAUUGACAGAUUGAUAGCUCUUUCCUGAUUCAGUAGAUGGUAGUGCAUGGCCAUUCUUAGUUAGUGGAGCGAUUUGUCUGGUUAAUUCCGAUAACAGGACAUUUGUUUUUCUCUUGAUAUGUCACUUUUAAACGAAAUACAUUUUUAGUGGCCCGAUAUUUAACUCCACUCAUAUCAUCUGACGAUUGUUGUCGAAAUAUACAUCCCACCAAUCCUUGUAAAUUAUCAGUGAUUAAACACGCAUCAGUGAAUAACGGAAUAAAACAUAAGUCAAAUAUGGGAAUGGAUUUUGACUACGUAUAUUUCAUACAACUGUUGAUCCAGACAGACGAUCAGAAAAAC
rfam:Schistosoma margrebowiei strain Zambia genome assembly, scaffold: SMRZ_scaffold0000820